rnacentral:rRNA from 1 species
UAGGGAGGGGGCUAGCGUUGUUCGGAAUUACUGGGCGUAAAGCGCACGUAGGUGGAUUGUUAAGUCAGGGGUGAAAUCCCGAGGCUCAACCUCGGAACUGCCUUUGAUACUGGCAAUCUCGAGUCCGGGAGAGGUGAGUGGAAUUCCUAGCGUAGAGGUGAAAUUCGUAGAUAUUAGGAAGAACACCAGUGGCGAAGGCGGCUCACUGGCCCGGUACUGACACUGAGGUGCGACAGCGUGGGGAGCAAACAGG